GUCGAGGGGCAGCAUGAACUUAGCUUGCUAAGUUUGAUGGCGACCGGCGCACGGGUGAGUAACACGUAUCCAACCUGCCGAUGACUCGGGGAUAGCCUUUCGAAAGAAAGAUUAAUACCCGAUGGCAUAGUUCUUCCGCAUGGUGGAACUAUUAAAGAAUUUCGGUCAUCGAUGGGGAUGCGUUCCAUUAGGUUGUUGGCGGGGUAACGGCCCACCAAGCCUUCGAUGGAUAGGGGUUCUGAGAGGAAGGUCCCCCACAUUGGAACUGAGACACGGUCCAAACUCCUACGGGAGGCAGCAGUGAGGAAUAUUGGUCAAUGGACGAGAGUCUGAACCAGCCAAGUAGCGUGAAGGAUGACUGCCCUAUGGGUUGUAAACUUCUUUUAUACGGGAAUAAAGUGAGGCACGUGUGCCUUUUUGUAUGUACCGUAUGAAUAAGGAUCGGCUAACUCCGUGCCAGCAGCCGCGGUAAUACGGAGGAUCCGAGCGUUAUCCGGAUUUAUUGGGUUUAAAGGGAGCGUAGGCGGACGCUUAAGUCAGUUGUGAAAGUUUGCGGCUCAACCGUAAAAUUGCAGUUGAUACUGGGUGUCUUGAGUACAGUAGAGGCAGGCGGAAUUCGUGGUGUAGCGGUGAAAUGCUUAGAUAUCACGAAGAACUCCGAUUGCGAAGGCAGCUUGCUGGACUGUAACUGACGCUGAUGCUCGAAAG
rnacentral:rRNA from 1 species